AAAUAAGAAGCAAAUUAUGCAUUUAAUUUCGACUUAAAAGAAAGAGAAGAAAUUCUCCUUAUUUA
rnacentral:tRNA from 1 species